rnacentral:lncRNA from 1 species
GGCCACACCUGUGGCAUAUGGAAAUUCCCAGACUGGGGGUCAAAUUGGAGCUACAGCUGCCAGCCUACACCACAGCCACAGCAUUGCAGGAUCGGAGCUGUGUCUGCUACCUACACUACAGCUUACAGCAAUGCCGGAUCCUUGACCCACUGAGAGAGGCCAGGGAUCAAACCCGUAUCCUCAUGGAUACUAGUUGGGCUCCUUACUGCUGAGUCACAAUGGGAACUUCCUUCGUUGUAGUUUUAUAGAUCAUUGAAUUAUCAUCACCAUAGGUCAAUCAUAAAAGAUGCAAAAUCAAUUUUCCAUACUAGGCUUAAUGUGCUGGUCAAAUAUCAUCCUCUUGGUUAAAAUUCAUGGGAGCAGAGUUGAGAUUUCUGAACUAGAAGCAGUUUGAUCCCCUUAGUAACUGAUUUAUGUUUAUAAAAUGGACACUGAACCUAGUACCUAAAUAUGUUUGCUUUAUGACAUGGUGGCUAAAAGGUCAGAGUUUCAUGUGCAUCUAACCUUCAGAAAGUAUUCCUGAUUGUACAGACUUUUGUGGUAUUUUUAUUUUCCAAUAUGUAUUUGAAUUUUCCUUCAUUAUCUGCCUUAAUUAUAACAACACUCCUAGUAAUAAAUGCAGGAUAAACUAGGUUAUCCAACAGUAACAAGCAAUGGUGAAAUGUCAGUGGAUUACAAUAACAAUAACAAGUAAUUUGCCGACACUACAAGCUCAUUACAAGAAAGCUCUGACACGGCUCUGUUGCCUUCACAGGAAGGUCCAGCCUGAGAAAGCAACUCUUCCCUGGAAAAUUACCAGAGGUAAAUUAGGGAUCUGGACAAAGUCAUGUUGGGUCUUAAAACUUCCUUCUGGGACUUCCUGUGUGGCUCACAACAUAGCUACUCGGUGUUGCUUCUACAGUGGCUAUGGCUCGACCCCUAGCCUGGAAACUAAAAAAAAAAAAAAACAAACACAAAAACAAACCAACAAAAAACUUCCUUCUAGGAUAACAUGUGUCAAUUCUGCUCACAUUUCAUUGGCCAAAGCAAGUUAUAUGGCUGCCUCACUCAGGAAGGCCAGGAAGAAUAAUCUUCCUCCAGAGAGGCCCACAGAAUAUUUGGGGAUCACAAUACAGUCUCUCAAAAUAGGUAGCAUUUGGAGUUCCCAUUGUGGCUCAGUGGGUUAAGAACCUGACUAGUAUCCAUGAAGAUGUAGGUUUAAUACUAGGCCUCACUCUGUGAGUUAAGGAUCUGGCAUUUGGAUCUGGUGUGGCUGUGACUGUGGUGGAGGCUGGCUGCUGCAGCUCCGAUUCAACCCCCAGCCUGGAACCUUCCAUAUGCUACAGGUGCUGCCCUAAAAAGACAAAAAACAAAAGAGAGAUUAAGAAAUUUGUUCAGGGAUUCCCAUUGUAGUGCAAAUGAAAUGAACCUGACUAGCAUCCAUGAGGAUGCAGGUUCAAUCCCUGGCCCUGCUCAGUGGGUUAAGGAACUGGCAUUGCCAAAAACUGUUGUAUAAGUCACAGAGGCAGCUCAGAUCUGGCCUUGCUGUGGUGUAGGCCAGCAGCUGUAGCUCUGAUUUGCCCCCUAGCCUGGGAACUUCCAUAUGCCACAAAUGUGGCCCUAAAAUGCCAAAAAAAAAAAA